UGGGGAAUUUUGGACAAUGGGCGAAAGCCUGAUCCAGCAAUGCCGCGUGUGUGAAGAAGGCCUUCGGGUUGUAAAGCACUUUUGUCCGGAAAGAAAUCCUUGGCCCUAAUACAGUCGGGGGAUGACGGUACCGGAAGAAUAAGCACCGGCUAACUACGUGCCAGCAGCCGCGGUAAUACGUAGGGUGCAAGCGUUAAUCGGAAUUACUGGGCGUAAGGCGUGCGCAGGCGGUUUGCUAAGACCGAUGUGAAAUCCCCGGGCUCAACCUGGGAACUGCAUUGGUGACUGGGCAGGCUAGAGUAUGGCAGAGGGGGGUAGAAUUCCACGUGUAGCAGUGAAAUGCGUAGAGAUGUGGAGGAAUACCGAUGGCGAAGGCAGCCCCCUGGGCCAAUACUGACGCUCAUGCACGAAAGCGUGGGGAGCAAACAGGAUUAGAUACCCUGGUAGUCCACGCCCUAAACGAUGUCAACUAGUUGUUGGGGAUUCAUUUCCUUAGUAACGUAGCUAACGCGUGAAGUUGACCGCCUGGGGAGUACGGUCGCAAGAUUAAAACUCAAAGGAAUUGACGGGGUCAUAGCUGUUUCCU
rnacentral:rRNA from 1 species